rnacentral:rRNA from 1 species
GAUGAACGCUAGCGACAGGCUUAACACAUGCAAGUCGAGGGGCAGCAUAAAAGUAGCAAUACUUUGGUGGCGACCGGCGCACGGGUGAGUAACGCGUAUGCAACCUACCUAUCAGAGGGGGAUAACCCGGCGAAAGUCGGACUAAUACCGCAUAAAACAGGGGCACCGCAUGGUGAUAUUUGUUAAAAAUUUAUUGCUGAUAGAUGGGCAUGCGUUCCAUUAGGUAGUUGGAGAGGUAACGGCUCACCAAGCCUACGAUGGAUAGGGGAACUGAGAGGUUGGUCCCCCACACUGGUACUGAGACACGGACCAGACUCCUACGGGAGGCAGCAGUGAGGAAUAUUGGUCAAUGGGCGAGAGCCCUGAACCAGCCAAGUCGCGUGAAGGAAGAAGGAUCUAUGGUUCGUAAACUUCUUUUGCAGGGGAAUAAAGUGGAGGACGUGUCCUUUUUGUAUGUACCCUGAGAAUAAGGAUCGGCUAACUCCGUGCCAGCAGCCGCGGUAAUACGU